AAAAAAAAUUUUUUUUACCAAAAAACAAAUUAGACUUUAAACCAAUCAAACAUGCGCUUUCGUGGUGUCAAAUUACCUUCUAAGUAAAUUCCAUCAAGUUUAGCAAUCCAUCUACGUAUCUGACCACAUCGUCGAGUAGACCCUCCUCUGUAUGCUCUCCAUAAGAUAUGAUGAUUUUGCAUGUUAGGACCUUGUCAUAAGAGACACUUCCAUAUUGUUCUAUCGAACGGAUUUUCGUUGAAUCUCCAUUCCGUAAUUUUCAUGAACGCCACAUCUCUAACUUCCGUUUUGUCGCUUUUGGAUAUACAAUUGACUUUGAGAAUGCUCCCAGGUUUGAGUUCAUUUUGAAAUGCUAAAAUGCUUUCGUCACAAAAAAAUUCUGCUUCAUUCAAACAAAAAUACAUCGAAAGGAAUGACAUGAUGAAAACUAUGAGAUGAUUCAUUUUUUU